GAGUGGCGGACGGGUGAGUAACACGUGGGUAACCUGCCCUUAAGUGGGGGAUAACAUUUGGAAACAGAUGCUAAUACCGCAUAGAUCCAAGAACCGCAUGGUUCUUGGCUGAAAGAUGGCGUAAGCUAUCGCUUUUGGAUGGACCCGCGGCGUAUUAGCUAGUUGGUGAGGUAAUGGCUCACCAAGGCGAUGAUACGUAGCCGAACUGAGAGGUUGAUCGGCCACAUUGGGACUGAGACACGGCCCAAACUCCUACGGGAGGCAGCAGUAGGGAAUCUUCCACAAUGGACGCAAGUCUGAUGGAGCAACGCCGCGUGAGUGA
rnacentral:rRNA from 2 species